rnacentral:rRNA from 13 species
CGGUUCUCUGGACCUUUCCUGACGCUGAGGAGCGAAAGCGUGGGGAGCGAACAGGCUUAGAUACCCUGGUAGUCCACGCUGUAAACGGUGGGUACUAGGUGUGGGGUCCAUUCCACGGAUUCUGUGCCGUAGCUAACGCAUUAAGUACCCCGCCUGGGGAGUACGGCCGCAAGGCUAAAACUCAAAGGAAUUGACGGGGGCCCGCACAAGCGGCGGAGCAUGCGGAUUAAUUCGAUGCAACGCGUAGAACCUUACCUGGGUUUGACAUGGAUCGGGAGUGCUCAGAGAUGGGUGUGCCUCUUUUGGGGUCGGUUCACAGGUGGUGCAUGGCUGUCGUCAGCUCGUGUCGUGAGAUG